rnacentral:rRNA from 1 species
UACGGAGGGUGCAAGCGUUAAUCGGAAUUACUGGGCGUAAAGCGUGCGCAGGCGGUUUUGUAAGUCUGACGUGAAAUCCCCGGGCUUAACCUGGGAAUUGCGUUGGAGACUGCAAGGCUGGAGUCUGGCAGAGGGGGGUAGAAUUCCACGUGUAGCAGUGAAAUGCGUAGAGAUGUGGAGGAACACCGAUGGCGAAGGCAGCCCCCUGGGUCAAGACUGACGCUCAUGCACGAAAGCGUGGGGAGCAAACAGG